rnacentral:lncRNA from 1 species
CAAAAGGUGCAAGAUAGAUAACAACAAAAUAGACCACAAUCGAACUGAAAGCUAAAAUAUGUAAGAAGUUACACAAAGUAAACAAGGGGGCGGGAGGUACCAAUUCCCGGUAGAAAAACCUGAAAGUAUGCUUUGAUGCGCCCAAUUUCUCCUGAAGCUUAUCAGAACGUGUGGUUCUAUUGCGUCCUGCUGCUAGUCUGAACGGUAGUCUCCGAGGCUGCUGUGGCUUGUCUGAAAAUC